rnacentral:rRNA from 1 species
UUGGAGGGCAAGUCUGGUGCCAGCAGCCGCGGUAAUUCCAGCUCCAAUAGCGUAUAUUAAAGUUGUUGCAGUUAAAAAGCUCGUAGUUGAAUUUCGGGGUUCUACCGUUGGUCGGGCUAUUGUCUGUACUGGCGUGUAGAAUUUCUACCUUCUGGGGAACUAUCAUGUUAUUAAUUUAGCGUGGUAGGAAACCAGAACCUUUACCUUGAAAAAAUUAGAGUGUUCAAAGCAGGCUUAUGUCUGAAUACAUUAGCAUGGAAUAAUAAAAUAGGACGGUGGUCCUGUUUUGUUGGUUUCUGAAUCACCGUAAUGAUUAAUAGGGAUAGUUGGGGGCAUUAGUAUUCAAUUGUCAGAGGUGAAAUUCUUGGAUUUAUUGAAGACUAACUACUGCGAAAGCAUUUGCCAAGGAUGUUUUCAUUAAUCAAGAACGAAAGUUAGGGGAUCGAAGACGAUCAGAUACCGUCGUAGUCUUAACCAUAAACUAUGCCGACUAGGGAUCGGACGAUGUUAACUUUUCUUGACUCGUUCGGCGCCUUACGGGAAAC